CACGUAGGGGGCAAGCGUUGUCCGGAUUUAUUGGGCGUAAAGAGCUCGUAGGUGGUGCGGUAAGUCGGGUGUUAAACCCCCAGGCUCAACCUGGGGACGCCACUCGAUACUGCUGUGACUAGAGUCCGGUAGGGGAGCGUGGAAUUCCUGGUGUAGCGGUGAAAUGCGCAGAUAUCAGGAGGAACACCAGCGGCGAAGGCGGGUCUCUGGGCCGUAACUGACGCUGAGGAGCGAAAGCGUGGGGAGCAAACAGG
rnacentral:rRNA from 1 species